AAGUCGUAACAAGGUAUCCGUAGGUGAACCUGCGGAUGGAUCAUUAUCACGUAUUAUCCACGUAUCAACCAUCGAGAACCGUCUCUUUACCUCUGAUAACUGAACCGGGCCCAUUUCGAUGAGCCUGUGUUUGUUUAUCGGUUGUAAUAAUUUUUUUUUACCAUUUUAACCUAAAUUUUAUAAUUUUUGUCUGAUCUAUUUCAUACUCUUCACGGAGAUGAAAUUUCAUUACGAAACAUAAAGAACAACUCUUAGCAACGGAUAUCUUGGUUCUC
rnacentral:misc_RNA from 1 species